AGCGGCGGACGGGUGAGUAACACGUGGGCAACCUGCCUGUAAGACUGGGAUAACUUCGGGAAACCGAAGCUAAUACCGGAUAGGAUCUUCUCCUUCAUGGGAGAUGAUUGAAAGAUGGUUUCGGCUAUCACUUACAGAUGGGCCCGCGGUGCAUUAGCUAGUUGGUGAGGUAACGGCUCACCAAGGCAACGAUGCAUAGCCGACCUGAGAGGGUGAUCGGCCACACUGGGACUGAGACACGGCCCAGACUCCUACGGGAGGCAGCAGUAGGGAAUCUUCCGCAAUGGACGAAAGUCUGACGGAGCAACGCCGCGUGAGUGAUGAAGGCUUUCGGGUCGUAAAACUCUGUUGUUAGGGAAGAAAAAAACAAGAGUACAUUUCUCAUAGCUUGACGGUACCUAACCAGAAAGCCACGGCUAACUACGUGCCAGCAGCCGCGGUAAUACGUAGGUGGCAAGCGUUAUCCGGAAUUAUUGGGCGUAAAGCGCGCGCAGGCGGUUUCUUAAGUCUGAUGUGAAAGCCCACGGCUCAACCGUGGAGGGUCAUUGGAAACUGGGGAACUUGAGUGCAGAAGAGAAAAGCGGAAUUCCACGUGUAGCGGUGAAAUGCGUAGAGAUGUGGAGGAACACCAGUGGCGAAGGCGGCUUUUUGGUCUGUAACUGACGCUGAGGCGCGAAAGCGUGGGGAG
rnacentral:rRNA from 2 species